rnacentral:rRNA from 1 species
GACGAACGCUGGCGGCGUGCUUAACACAUGCAAGUCGAACGGAAAGGCCCUGCUUGCUGGGUACUCGAGUGGCGAACGGGUGAGUAACACGUGGGUGCUCUGCCCUGCACUUCGGGAUAAGCCUGGGAAACUGGGUCUAAUACCGGAUAGGAGCCAGUUUUAGUGUGAUGGUUGGAAAGUUUUUUCGGUGUAGGAUGAGCUCGCGGCCUAUCAGCUUGUUGGUGGGGUAAUGGCCUACCAAGGCGGCGACGGGUAGCCGGCCUGAGAGGGUGGACGGCCACAUUGGGACUGAGAUACGGCCCAGACUCCUACGGGAGGCAGCAGUGGGGAAUAUUGCACAAUGGGCGCAAGCCUGAUGCAGCGACGCCGCGUGGGGGAUGACGGCCUUCGGGUUGUAAACUCCUUUCGCUAGGGACGAAGCUUUUGUGACGGUACCUAGAUAAGAAGCACCGGCUAACUACGUG